AUCGCUUCUCGGCUCAAUGAGCUAAGAUCAAAGUUGUAGUAUCUGUUCUUAUCAGCUUAAUAUCUGAUAUAUUCCGCAAUGCGGAAUCAGAAUAUUAAACUGAUUUUUGGAACUUGAAGAACAGUUCGAGCUUGCUCGUCGUUCAUCGGAGUCGAUUCGGCAUUGCAUUUCCGCCGGAUUUGGCUCAAUUAAG